CUCUUGAAUGUCCCCUCUCUAAUUUACGUUCCCUCUCACUUCAUUGCCUGCAGCAGAGCCCAUUAAUGGUGGCAGUUUGUGACACAACUGAAGGCUCCUCCAACAGGCGAUCCCACCGCGCUGACUUGGGCGGCAUUUGCUGACAUGGUGGGGCUCAGCUUCUCCCACUCUGCUUCCCAGGCUCCAGAGACUAAUCCUCCCUUUGGCUGGCUCUGCUGCUGCUAUGGCAAUAUUUUCUCCCCCAUCGUGGUAAUCACGCAAUGGUCUCUGAGAACAGCAGGAGAAGCAGUGCCUGGUAGAUGCAUAAAAGAGCUGAUAGAACGCUCAGAAUGAAGGCAGCUGAUGGCAGGGGGACCUUCAGCUUGUCCAGCCCGGCCCCAGCUCCCAGCCCUCUGCUGCACGUGGUGGGCUCAGAGCCCUCAGAGCCACAUCCUGCCUGGCCCCCUGCCCAUGCCAGCCUCGGGCCCUGCUCUGGCCAUGGCACUGCAGCCUCAGAACGGAAGUUCCUGGUGUUCCCGACCGGUGCUGGAAUGCUGCUUCCACCUCCAGGAAUGCAAAUGAACGGGGUUUGAUCCAAAUUGCAUUUCCUCUCCUAGUCUGGAGUAUGACGGCACAUUAAAACCUGUAAUAUUCCA